UACGUAGGGUGCAAGCGUUGUCCGGAAUUAUUGGGCGUAAAGAGCUCGUAGGCGGUCUGUCGCGUCGGCUGUGAAAACCCGGGGCUUAACCCUGGGCUUGCAGUGGGUACGGGCAGACUAGAGUGUGGUAGGGGCAGAGGGAAUUUCCGGUGGAGCGGUGAAAUGCGUAGAUAUCGGAAAGAACACCUGUGGCGAAAGCGGCUCACUGGACCAUAACUGACGCUGAGGCACGAAAGCUAGGGGAGCAAACAGG
rnacentral:rRNA from 1 species